UGGGAACUGCGUUNUGAACUGGGUGACUAGAGUGUGUCAGAGGGAGGUAGAAUUCCACGUGUAGCAGUGAAAUGCGUAGAGAUGUGGAGGAAUACCGAUGGCGAGGGCAGCCUCCUGGGAUAACACUGACGUUCAUGCCCGAAAGCGUGGGUAGCAAACAGGAUUAGAUACCCUGGUAGUCCACGCCCUAAACGAUGUCGAUUAGCUGUUGGGCAGCAUGACUGCUUAGUAGCGAAGCUAACGCGUGAAAUCGACCGCCUGGGGAGUACGGUCGCAAGAUUAAAACUCAAAGGAAUUGACGGGGACCCGCACAAGCGGUGGAUGAUGUGGAUUAAUUCGAUGCAACGCGAAGAACCUUACCUGGUCUUGACAUGUACGGAACCCUCCAGAGACGGAGGGGUGCCUUCGGGAGCCGUAACACAGGUGCUGCAUGGCUGUCGUCAGCUCGUGUCGUGAGAUGUUGGGUUAAGUCCCGCAACGAGCGCAACCCUUGUCAUUAGUUGCCAUCAUUAAGUUGGGCACUCUAAUGAGACUGCCGGUGACAAGCCGGAGGAAGGUGGGGAUGACGUCAAGUCCUCAUGGCCCUUAUGACCAGGGCUUCACACGUCAUACAAUGGUCGGUACAGAGGGUAGCCAAGCCGCGAGGUGGAGCCAAUCUCACAAAACCGAUCGUGGUCCGGAUUGCACUCUGCAAC
rnacentral:rRNA from 1 species